GCUCGCUUCAGCAGCAUAUACUAAAAUUGGAAUGACACAGAGAAGAUUAGCAUGGCCCCUACGCAAGGAUAACAUGCAAAUUUGUGAAGCAUUCCAUCAUAAA